rnacentral:misc_RNA from 1 species
GUAACUCUACAAAGUCAAGUUUUAAUAGUCAAAUUGAGUUCUCUGUCAUCUCUCUUUGUAAAUUAACUCCGUCGGCGACGCCGCAAGUCUACCGGAAGAUUUCUUCAGGAGCUAUUCGUCUGAAGGAUGGGAGCCGACAUCGCAGAAAGCGAGUUGAAGAAAUUGGAAUACCUCUCGCUAAUUUCUAAGGUAUGUUCCGAGUUGGAGGCACAUUUAGGGUUUGGUGAUAAGGUUUUAGCUGAAUUUAUAACUGAACUUGGUAGAAGUUGCUUAACAGUAGAUGAAUUUGAUGACAAAUUGAAAGAAAGUGGUGCUGAAAUGCCCGACUAUUUCGUAAGAACGUUGCUCACUAUAAUCCAUGCUAUUUUGCCUCCUAGUGCCAAGUCCAAGUCGGAGAAGGAGUCGAACAAGGAUGGCAAUGAUUCCGAGUUUUCAGCUCUGAAGAUCAGAGAUAAUAGGGAUAGGGUUAAGGAGUUGGAGAAGGAGAUUGAAUUGGAGGCUAGGAGUAAGAGGAGAGAUGAAAAGGGAGAAGAACGGGAUAGGAGGCGAGAGGGGGAUAGAGAUUAUAGAAGAGAAAGGGGUAGAGACAGGAGGGAUAGGGAUAGGGGUAGGGAUCGAGAUAGAGAUGAUGGUAGAGUUGAACGCAGGGCUUCAGAAAGGCGCAGAGACAGGGAUGGAGAUGGAGAUGUAUAUGCAAAGGGUAGUAGAGAUGAUUAUGAGCAAGACGGGGAUGAUGAUCGGAGGGAUAGGAGAAAAUCGAGGCAUCAUGUGGAUGAGCCAGAGUUGUAUGCAGUAUAUAAGGGGAGGGUAUCAAGGGUGAUGGAUUCUGGUUGUUUUGUUCAGCUGAAUGAAUUUAGAGGGAAAGAAGGCUUGGUGCAUGUUUCACAACUUGCUACUAGAAGGGUUAGUAAUGCCAAAGAUUUGGUAAAACGGGACCAGGACGUUUUUGUGAAGGUUAUCUCUAUUAGUGGGCAGAAGCUGAGUUUGUCAAUGAGAGAUGUUGAUCAGAAUACAGGAAAGGAUCUGCUUCCAUUGAAGAAGAGCUCUGACGGUGGUGGAUUGACAACAAAUCCUUCAGGCAUGAAUAAUGAGGGCUCUAAGACCGGGAUUGGCCUGUCAGGAAUUAGGAUUGCGGAGCAAGAGGAUGUAGUUCCAUCACGUAGACCGGUGAAGAGGAUGAGUUCACCUGAAAAGUGGGAAGCGAAACAACUUAUUGCUGCAGGUGUCCUGGGGGUCCAUGAACAUCCCAUGUUUGAUGAAGAAGGGGAUGGAAUGCUAUAUCAGGAAGAAGAUGGUGUUGAUGAAGAGCUUGAGGUUGAAUUGAAUGAAGAUGAACCCCCUUUCUUGCAAGGGCAGAGUCGUUAUUCAGUUGAUAUGUCUCCUGUCAAAAUUUUUAAAAAUCCUGAAGGAUCAUUGAGUCGUGCUGCUGCACUACAAUCAGCUCUGAUAAAGGAGAGAAGGGAAGUAAGGGAGCAGCAACAGAGAACGAUGCUUGAUUCUAUCCCAAAGGAUCUCAACAGACCAUGGGAAGACCCAAUGCCGGAGACAGGUGAGAGGCAUUUGGCUCAGGAACUGAGGGGUGUUGGUUUGUCUGCCUAUGACAUGCCAGAAUGGAAAAAAGAUGCUUAUGGUAAAGCCGUGACCUUUGGCCAGAGGUCUAAGCUAUCCCUCCAGGAGCAGAGGCAGAGUCUUCCUAUUUACAAAUUGAAGAAAGAACUGGUUCAGGCUGUCCAUGAUAAUCAGGUCCUGGUCGUCAUUGGUGAAACAGGUUCUGGCAAGACAACACAGGUGACACAGUAUCUAGCCGAGGCAGGGUAUACAACGAGGGGAAAAAUUGGCUGUACUCAACCUCGUCGAGUGGCUGCAACAUCUGUGGCAAAGAGAGUUGCUGAGGAGUUUGGUUGUCGAUUAGGUGAGGAGGUCGGUUAUGCUAUUCGUUUUGAAGAUUGUACUGGGCCAGAAACUGUUAUCAAAUAUAUGACUGAUGGUAUGCUU